rnacentral:rRNA from 1 species
UACGAAGGGUGCAAGCGUUAAUCGGAAUUACUGGGCGUAAAGGGUGCGUAGGCGGUUCGUUAAGUCUGUCGUGAAAUCCCCGGGCUCAACCUGGGAAUGGCAAUGGAUCCUGGCUGGCUAGAGUGUGUCAGAGGAUGGUGGAAUUCCCGGUGUAGCGGUGAAAUGCGUAGAGAUCGGGAGGAACAUCAGUGGCGAAGGCGGCCAUCUGGGACAACACUGACGCUGAAGCACGAAAGCGUGGGGAGCAAACAGG